CCUGAAUUCUUUCUUGUGUGAAAUCCAAGAGCCCUCUCUUGGGGUUGGAUCGGGACCCUGUUCCUGUAACAAGUCCACAAUGCCAGAGAAUUAAAGAGAACCACAAAGCAAGACCAACUCCCCUUCUUCCACCUUCCCAACCUACUCAAUGUGAAGAUGAUGAAGAUGAAGACCUUUGUCAUGAUCCACAUCCACUUAAUAAAUGCUGAACCUCAAAAAGUUAGCCUGGCGAGGGGAGGAUGAUGAGAUUUCCCCUGUUGUCACAUAAACAAGGAAGUAAAGGGGGCCCCUUGUGCUCUCAGAACUCCAAGCAUGAAACGAUAGCAAAGGGAAAAACAGCUAAGUGUUUCCUGGCUGAAUUUUAUUUUGCUUUCAGUUUCUGCCAUUUCAGUUCCUGUUAUCGUGCUUUGAGGUGCACUGAACUGCAGCAAACCCAGGGGAUCCAAGGCUACGUUGAAAAGCCUUUGACCACAGUGCAGGGAGCAGAAGACAUUAAUGACGUGAUGUCGACACAGCCCGCACUCAGGAUCCUCCAGGAAAAGAACACAGAGAUAACCCCGGAUCGAUGGUACUUUUUGAAAAUGCUUUAUUGCAAAAGAGUGGCUAGGGUUUUACAAGGGCUAUG
rnacentral:lncRNA from 10 species